ensembl:lncRNA
GUGUGGGAUAUACUUACCCUGAUAAAUACUGCAGGGGAUAUACUUACACUAAAAAAAAGGACUCGCUGCUUCUCUGGAAUUCAAAUUUACUUGGGCGUCCCGGGUCUUUUGUAGCUGUCAUGGAUCUCGUUUUUAUUUGUGCUACAUCUGGCCACCUUAGCCUGGCACAAAAUGUAUUCACCAAUGUUCAUUGAACGAACGAACGGAGCUAAAGCAUAUCAGCUGAAAGAAUAAACAGAUGAAGCAGUGAUUGAAACGCACAGGCAUUAUUACUAUGGUUGCCGUUGUUGUCUCACUGAUGGCUCAGAAGUUCCUGCCUCUGAGAACAUUCUAUCUAUCCCAGGCCCAGACCAUGGGGGGAAGUCGGGGCUUGCAGAGCAAAGUGAUUCACCCAAGGCCUUCAGGGCUGUCGCUCCUGAGGCGGGCCAUCUGCACCCCCAGACAGCCCCCAUCCUCCAAGCCUGAAACACACCCCAGCCUGAAUCUCAGAAUAACCCCACCAGGCUGGGACAGCUACCCUCCCCUGCUACCGAUGAAGAAACCGAGGCUCAGAGAGGCAAAGGGACUCAUCCACGCUGACAGUGACCCCCCCCGGGACCCUUCUCUCCACACUGGGGGCAGAGCCUGGAGCCCGAGAGCCACAGCUGGCAGAGCUCCAGGCUGGGCUGGAGCUGAAGCUGCUGAAUUUGGACCCAGACUCCAGGGACUCUAUCCAGUGCCUUCUCUAGAACACCUGAGUCUGUCCCCACCAGACUCACCUGGGCUCCUGGCUACCUGGACCAUCUCCAGCAGACCUCAUCACUCACCACUACCUCCAGGAGCGCACAGUGGAACUCAGGGACCCAAGAAAUUGGACAGGGAAAGAAGGGCACAUCUUUUUUUUUCUUUUUAAUUAUUUUAUUUGGCUGUGCUGGAUCUUCAUUUCUCCGUUGCAGGGCUCGGACUUCUCACUGCGGUGGCUUCUCUUAUUGCAGAGCACCGGCUCUAGGUGCAUGGACUUCCGGAGCUGUGGCUCACGGGCUUAGUUGCUCUGUGGCCUGUGGGAUCUUCCCGGACCAGGGAUAGAACCCGUGUCCCCUGCAUUGGCAGGCAGAUUGUUUACCGCUGGACCACCAGGGAAGUCCAGAA